rfam:Clostridiales bacterium PH28_bin88 ph28_1132, whole genome shotgun sequence.
GAUCAAGAUACUAAGGGCACACGGUGAAUGCCUUGGCAUCAGAAGCCGAUGAAGGACGUGGCAAGCUGCGAUAAGCUCCGGGUAGGUGCAAACCACCGUCGAUCCGGAGAUGUCCGAAUGGGGAAACCCAGCCGGGGUCAUGCCCGGUUACCCAUGCCUGAACACAUAGGGCAUGUGGAGGCAACCUGGGGAACUGAAACAUCUAAGUACCCAGAGGAAGAGAAAUCAACCGAGAUUUCCCUAGUAGUGGCGAGCGAACGGGAAAGAGCCUAAACCCGCGUAUGCGUAUAGCCUGUGGGCGUUGCUGCGCGUGGGGUUGUGGGAGUCAUCGACCUAGGGCCACUGACCUAGGACGGAGUUACAAAGCGGCAGGGUAGCGGAACGGCUUUGGAAAAGCCGGCCACAGAAGGUAAAAGCCCUGUAUGCGAAAUUCUGCCGCCUCCGAGAUGACCACCCGAGUACUGCCGGACACGUGAAAUCCGGUAGGAAUCUGGGGGGACCACCCUCCAAGGCUAAAUACUCUCUGAUGACCGAUAGUGAACCAGUACCGUGAGGGAAAGGUGAAAAGCACCCCGAGAGGGGAGUGAAAUNNGCCGGCUUGCCGGCAGGGUGGUGGCGUGCCUUUUGUAGAAUGAGCCAGCGAGUUACCGUAUGCAGCAAGGUUAAGCUUGAAAGCGAGCCGUAGCGAAAGCGAGUCUUUAAACGGGCGUUCAGUUGCAUGUGGUAGACGCGAAGCCAGGUGAUCUAUCCAUGGGCAGGCUGAAGCGGGGGUAAGACCCCGUGGAGGGCCGAACCCACUUCGGUUGAAAACGGAGGGGAUGACCUGUGGAUCGGAGUGAAAGGCUAAUCAAACCUGGAGAUAUCUCGUUCUCCCCGAAAUAGCUUUAGGGCUNNGGGCUUCACCGCUUACCGAAGUCAGCCAAACUCCGAAUGCCGGUACUCCAGAGAUCGGGAGUCAGACUAUGUGGGCUAAGCUGUGUAGUCGAGAGGGAAACAGCCCAGACCGCCUGCUAAGGUCCCUAAAUUCAUGCUAAGUGGCAAAGGAUGUGCGUUUGCACAGACAACCAGGAUGUUGGCUUAGAAGCAGCCAUUCAUUUAAAGAGUGCGUAAUAGCUCACUNNUGAUACCGAAGCAGCGGACUUCGCGUUUACGCGGAGUGGUAGGGGAGCAUUCUGUACCGGGUCGAAGCGGGCGGGUGACCGUCCGUGGACUGUACAGAAGAGAGAAUGCUGGCAUGAGUAGCGAGAGAAGUGUGAGAAACACUUCCGCCGUAAGCCUAAGGGUUCCUGGGCAAGGCUAAUCCUCCCAGGGUCAGUNNAGACAUUCCUGUACCACUGACAGCGCGUUAUCACCGAUGGGGUGACGGAGAAGGGUAGCUGAGCGCGGUUCUGGACGUCCGCGUGAAAGGCUGUAGGGCGUCAGGUAGGCAAAUCCGCCUGACACAUGCCUGAGAGCUGAUGACGAAGCGAUUGAGUGAAGUCAGUGAUCCCAUGCUUUCAAGAAAAACCUCUAGGGAGUGCUGUGGGUGCCCGUACCCCAAACCGACACAGGUAGGCGGGUAGAGAAUACCAAGGCGAUCGAGAGAACUACGGUUAAGGAACUCGGCAUAAUGGAUCCGUAACUUCGGGAGAAGGAUCACCCCGGCCCGUGAGUAUCUUCGCGGUACAAGCGGACUGGGGUCGCAGUGAAACGGCCCAAGCGACUGUUUACUAAAAACACAGGACUCUGCUAAGUCGUAAGACGAGGAGGGGUCAGCCGCAAGGCGAAGCUCUGAAUCUAAGCCCCAGUAAACGGCGGCCGUAACUAUAACGGUCCUAAGGUAGCGAAAUUCCUUGUCG